UUCAAUGGUGGCGCGUUCAAGGCAGCUUUCGGGCUGGCUGGUUUCCGAUAACACCAGUAGUCUCAACCUUGUCUGUGUCACCACCCUC
rnacentral:antisense_RNA from 1 species